rnacentral:rRNA from 1 species
GUCGAGCGGUAGCACAGAGAGCUUGCUCUCGGGUGACGAGCGGCGGACGGGUGAGUAAUGUCUGGGAAACUGCCUGAUGGAGGGGGAUAACUACUGGAAACGGUAGCUAAUACCGCAUAACGUCGCAAGACCAAAGUGGGGGACCUUCGGGCCUCAUGCCAUCAGAUGUGCCCAGAUGGGAUUAGCUAGUAGGUGGGGUAACGGCUCACCUAGGCGACGAUCCCUAGCUGGUCUGAGAGGAUGACCAGCCACACUGGAACUGAGACACGGUCCAGACUCCUACGGGAGGCAGCAGUGGGGAAUAUUGCACAAUGGGCGCAAGCCUGAUGCAGCCAUGCCGCGUGUAUGAAGAAGGCCUUCGGGUUGUAAAGUACUUUCAGCGGGGAGGAAGGCGAUAAGGUUAAUAACCUUGUCGAUUGACGUUACCCGCAGAAGAAGCACCGGCUAACUCCGUGCCAGCAGCCGCGGUAAUACGGAGGGUGCAAGCGUUAAUCGGAAUUACUGGGCGUAAAGCGCACGCAGGCGGUCUGUCAAGUCGGAUGUGAAAUCCCCGGGCUCAACCUGGGAACUGCAUUCGAAACUGGCAGGCUAGAGUCUUGUAGAGGGGGGUAGAAUUCCAGGUGUAGCGGUGAAAUGCGUAGAGAUCUGGAGGAAUACCGGUGGCGAAGGCGGCCCCCUGGACAAAGACUGACGCUCAGGUGCGAAAGCGUGGGGAGCAAACAGGAUUAGAUACCCUGGUAGUCCACGCCGUAAACGAUGUCGAUUUGGAGGUUGUGCCCUUGAGGCGUGGCUUCCGGAGCUAACGCGUUAAAUCGACCGCCUGGGGAGUACGGCCGCAAGGUUAAAACUCAAAUGAAUUGACGGGGGCCCGCACAAGCGGUGGAGCAUGUGGUUUAAUUCGAUGCAACGCGAAGAACCUUACCUGGUCUUGACAUCCACAGAACUUAGCAGAGAUGCUUUGGUGCCUUCGGGAACUGUGAGACAGGUGCUGCAUGGCUGUCGUCAGCUCGUGUUGUGAAAUGUUGGGUUAAGUCCCGCAACGAGCGCAACCCUUAUCCUUUGUUGCCAGCGGUUAGGCCGGGAACUCAAAGGAGACUGCCAGUGAUAAACUGGAGGAAGGUGGGGAUGACGUCAAGUCAUCAUGGCCCUUACGACCAGGGCUACACACGUGCUACAAUGGCAUAUACAAAGAGAAGCGACCUCGCGAGAGCAAGCGGACCUCAUAAAGUAUGUCGUAGUCCGGAUUGGAGUCUGCAACUCGACUCCAUGAAGUCGGAAUCGCUAGUAAUCGUAGAUCAGAAUGCUACGGUGAAUACGUUCCCGGGCCUUGUACACACCGCCCGUCACACCAUGGGAGUGGGUUGCAAAAGAAGUAGGUAGCUUAACCUUCGGGAGGGCG